ensembl:lncRNA novel transcript, antisense to CEMIP
ACUAGAGGCUUCUGCUCUUGUAGGUGGCCAGAGGACCUUCCUCAGGGAUCUGGUCUUGAACGUGGCUGCAGAGAAAGGCCUUAAGGGAAAUGCAAACAGUCCUGUAGAAUGAAAUCUGGGAGCAAUGAGGAAGAAGGACCCAGGGAGAUCGUGUCCGUGUCUGCAGCCAGCCUGGGGAAGAGAAGCCUAAGAGAUAGCUGUGUCCCUAGAUUCUUCCACAAGCACAUCUCAGGCAGCCAAAAAGAUUGUGUUGAAUUUUAUGUUCUGUGGGUUUCUUUCCAAAAUAAUAGAUAUGGAGUUUGCAAUCUCCCCCGUGAGAAGAAUAUGUUUUGGGAAGAAUGGGAGUCAUAUGGAAGUGACUUGAACCCAACUCUCAGCCUGGAGUCAGGCUCAGUCUAGAGAAGCUGAUCCCUAGACAACCUGCAGAUACAUGAGUAAGAAAUAAAGACCUGUCAUGAA